GUGACAGAGUGAGGAAGGGGGUGACACAGUGACAGAGUGAGGAAGGGGGUGACACAGUGACAGAGUGAAGGAGGUGGUGACUGUCACUAGUCACCCCAUCCUUCCCUCUGUCACUAAUCACCACCUCCCUCACUCUGUCACUAGUCACCCCCUCCCUCUCUCUGUCACUAGUCACCCCCUCCCUCUCUCUGUCACUAGUCACCCACUCUGUCACUAGUCACACCCUUCCUCACUGUCACUAGUCACA